GGUAGUAGCAAAUACUCAAGCGAGGGCCUUGAGGGCUGAUGCGGAGAAGGGUUUCGUGUGAACAGCCGUUGCACACGAGUCAGUCGAUCCUAAGCCCUAGGAGAAAUCCGAUGUCGAUGCGGCGGGGUGACUCCCCGCCCGUCGAGGGCGAAAGGGAAUCCGGUUCCUAUUCCGGAACCCGGCAGCGGAACCGAACCGUCGGGCCCCUCGAAAGAGAAGCUCGUCGGGGUAACCCAAAGGGACCCGGAGACGCCGUCGGGAGACCCGGGCAGAGUUUUCUGUUCUGCAUAAGCGUUCGAGUUCCCUGGAAUCCUCUAGCAGGGAGAUAGGGUUUGGAACGCGAAGAGCACCGCAGUUGCGGCGGUGUCCGGGUCGUCCCCUCGGACCUUGAAAAUCCGGGAGAGGGCUACGCGGAGGUGUCGCGCCGGUUCGUACCCAUAUCCGCAGCAGGUCUCCAAGGUGAGGAGCCUCUAGUC
rnacentral:ncRNA from 1 species